GACGAACGCUGGCGGCGUGCUUAACACAUGCAAGUCGAACGGAAAGGCCCUGCUUUUGUGGGGUGCUCGAGUGGCGAACGGGUGAGUAACACGUGAGUAACCUGCCCCUGACUUUGGGAUAACUUCAGGAAACUGGGGCUAAUACCGGAUAGGAGCUCCUGCUGCAUGGUGGGGUUGGAAAGAUUCGGCGGUUGGGGAUGGAUUUGGGGGUUAUCGGGUUGUUGGAGGGGGAGGGGCAUACCAAGGCUUUGACGGGUAGCCGGCCUUGGAGGGUGACCGGGCACCUGGGGACUGAGAUACGGCCCAGACUCCUACGUGAGGCAGCAGUGGGAAAUAUUGCACAAUGGGCGGAAGCCUGAUGCAGCAACGCCGCGUGCGUGAUGACGGCCUUCGGGUUGUAAACCGCUUUCGCCUGUGACGAAGCGUGAGUGACGGUAAUGGGUAAAGAAGCACCGGCUAACUACGUG
rnacentral:rRNA from 1 species